GGCCAUGUCUCGGUGAAUCACCGGUUCCCGCACGAUUACUGAAGUUAAGCUACGUUAAGCGUGGUCAGUACCUAGAUGGGUAAGCGCUUAAGAAUGCCAGGUGCUGUAA